GAAAAUGCGAAAUAAAAUUCCAAGAAAAGGUCAGGUUGACCAUGAGACAGUGGUCAACCUUUAUCCCAAAAAUCAAAUUCUAACAAUAAGUUUAAGUAAUAAAAAUAAAAUCAAUAAAAAAAGUGUGUUAAAAUGGACCAUUUAUAAUUAAUAAUUAAAAUGAAAUUUUAAAAUUAAAAAAGACAAAAAUAAAAAUUAUAUAAAAUUAAAUAAAACGUUA
rnacentral:lncRNA from 1 species